GCUCGAGCAACUAGGAGUGCGGCAGUUCGUGCGGGCAGGCGAGCAGGAUGGUGAGAACUCGCCGUAUGACCACGGUCCAGUCUGGGAGUUCUGCCUUGGCUGCCCCGGUGGUGGCCAGCACAGGCACCCAGACAGAGCCGUGCCAUACGAACUCCAUACUGGGGACUGGAAUGGAAUGAUAGGUUCAUUAAGUCUGAAGGAGACAAAACGCUUUCUUUCUUGGUAAGUUCAAGAAUUCUUUUCUCUGGUGGUGAAAAAUACUCAGUCUUCUGCGGAUCAGCUGUUUGCUGUCUCAGUACAUUUGAACCCUAUCCUUCACAGAGGAAAAUUAGAUUUCUUUUUUUUCAAUAGGAAAAUGCUGGUUUACCUUUUUAAAAAGGUAGCUAAAUGCAGUGCGUUAAAACAACUGGGUCUGCAUCUAAAUUCAUAAAUGGAAGUGAUGUGAGGGGCUGACUCUGGUGAGAUGCAGUACUGUACUGUUGAAACUCUACUGGCUUUGUGUGGCUUCAGCUGCCAGCCAUUGGGUUUGUCUACAUUCUUCCCUAAGGAAUUAAUGAGCUUGGUAAUAUCCGGUAUUUUCUCCACAUGAUGGUAUUUCUAACUUCGUCAUCUCUCCAUGCUUUAGAUAAGCGAUUCCAAACAUACCCACGUCCCUGGCUUUGAAGUACAUCUUCAAGACAUAUGCUUCCUCAUUUGGCAGCGUGAUGAAAUACUCCUGAACACUGCUGACUGGUCAGGGGGUUUCACUGGAGGCUAUUGGGGUCCUUCAGCACUUAUCCAGUACUCAUUGGAAUUGUUUAAUUCAUGAGUUCCUGUGCUGUGACUUACAUUUGUGCCACAAAAAUGUUUGGCUUAAUGGGUUGGGUUUUUAUAUGACUCUCAUUAAUAUCUCAUUGCAUUUUAUCACAUGAAGCAUUCAUAAUCGAGGAAUAACAUAGUUUUCUCUGGAUCCUUUCAAUGGGGUUUGGUUUUAUUCUGCUGGUAUUUAUAAGAAAGGACUAAAAUCUUCCUUUCCAGUGCAAACUGCAUUAUAUUUAGCUGCUUUUCAUUGUUUUUUGGGGUAGUAUGAAUGAGAAAAGGUACAAAAACCAUACAAAAGGAUGAGACAAUGUCUGAUCAAGAAUGAGAAGUGA
rnacentral:lncRNA from 1 species